ACAGGAGCUUGCUCCUGGGUGACGAGCGGCGGACGGGUGAGUAAUGUCUGGGAAACUGCCCGAUGGAGGGGGAUAACUACUGGAAACGGUAGCUAAUACCGCAUAACGUCUUCGGACCAAAGUGGGGGACCUUCGGGCCUCACACCAUCGGAUGUGCCCAGAUGGGAUUAGCUAGUAGGUGAGGUAAUGGCUCACCUAGGCGACGAUCCCUAGCUGGUCUGAGAGGAUGACCAGCCACACUGGAACUGAGACACGGUCCAGACUCCUACGGGAGGCAGCAGUGGGGAAUAUUGCACAAUGGGCGCAAGCCUGAUGCAGCCAUGCCGCGUGUGUGAAGAAGGCCUUCGGGUUGUAAAGCACUUUCAGCGAGGAGGAAGGGUUCAGUGUUAAUAGCACUGUUCAUUGACGUUACUCGCAGAAGAAGCACCGGCUAACUCCGUGCCAGCAGCCGCGGUAAUACGGAGGGUGCAAGCGUUAAUCGGAAUUACUGGGCGUAAAGCGCACGCAGGCGGUUUGUUAAGUCAGAUGUGAAAUCCCCGAGCUUAACUUGGGAACUGCAUUUGAAACUGGCAAGCUAGAGUCUUGUAGAGGGGGGUAGAAUUCCAGGUGUAGCGGUGAAAUGCGUAGAGAUCUGGAGGAAUACCGGUGGCGAAGGCGGCCCCCUGGACAAAGACUGACGCUCAGGUGCGAAAGCGUGGGGAGCAAACAGGAU
rnacentral:rRNA from 1 species